ensembl:ncRNA C54D1.11 ncRNA
UUGGGGGCCGCAGGUCAUUUUAACACUCUCCACCCUCCAUUUCGUCUCCAUUCCAUUCAACCGCAUCGAUCACCAUCACCAACCGUGAUGUUCUCGUUUUUGUGGUUGCGAGUAAUGUAAUGACCGCCUAAUGAAGCCAAGUGUGGUC